CCUACGGGUGGCAGCAGUGAGGAAUAUUGGUCAAUGGGCGGAAGCCUGAACCAGCCAAGUAGCGUGCAGGAUGACGGCCCUACGGGUUGUAAACCUCUUUUGUCGGGGAGCAAAAGCCGGACGUGUCCGGCUGUGAGAGUACCCGAAGAAAAAGCAUCGGCUAACUCCGUGCCAGCAGCCGCGGUAAUACGGAGGAUGCGAGCGUUAUCCGGAUUUAUUGGGUUUAAAGGGUGCGCAGGCGGAUUUUUAAGUCAGCGGUCAAAUCGUGGGGCUCAACCCCAUCCAGCCGGUGAAACUGGAGAUCUAGAGUGUGCGAGAGGUAUGCGGAAUGCGUGGUGUAGCGGUGAAAUGCAUAGAUAUCACGCAGAACCCCGAUUGCGAAGGCAGCAUACCGGUGCACAACUGACGCUCAGGCACGAAAGCGUGGGUAUCGAACAGGAUUAGAUACCCGUGUAGUC
rnacentral:rRNA from 1 species